UAAAGCCGAAACCCCAUCUAAUGAGGAUUAGCGCGUGUUGGUUGCACUCCGUCCAGUAAAUCCGCGGGUAAUAGGCCUAAGAAGGCCACCUGUGUGCACAUGCCGGUGAAUCCAAUCAAUGGCCACAAUAAGGGUGAUGUCAUCGGGAGGAAGGCCUACUGAUGUCAGCACUAUCACCAUGGUGACAAGGCCAGCCUGGGGGAUUCCGGCGGCUCCUAUGCUGGCAGCUGUUGCAGUGAUGCUGGAGAUGACAGGUGUGGUUGGCCAAGACAUGCUGAGGAGGAGAUAAGGGGAGUAAUACGAUCAGAUGGUGGCUCAUGGCGUAAACACUGAGCUCAUGGCGAUGUGCGACCAAGCCUGCCAGGGGGAGGAGACCAGGCCGUAAAGACCCUCGGAACCCUCGGAGGUGAGACCAGACCACAAAGACCCUCGGAACCCUCGGAGGUGAGGCCAGACCACAAAGACCCUCGGAACCCUCGGAGGUGAGGCCAGACCACAAAGACCCUCGGAACCCUCGGAGGUGAGGCCAGACCACAAAGACCCUCGGAACCCUCGGAGGUGAGGCCAGACCACAAAGACCCUCGGAACCCUCAGAGGUGAGGCCUCUUCCAUUUUCUACGGGUUUCCUCCACUGCAUCCACAUUACAUCUGGUAACAGCUGGACAUAAAGAGCUGGUUUCUUGGACAUGGACUAAGCCUAGUACAAGACUAAAGCCUCUAUGCAGAGGAGACCUUCAUUGAAAUUCUCUUGUAGUCCAGGACGUCUUAAACUAUGUGUGGGAAAUCUGCCUUAAAUUAAACAUCUUUUCA